CACGUAGGGUGCGAGCGUUGUCCGGAAUUAUUGGGCGUAAAGAGCUUGUAGGCGGUUUGUCGCGUCUGCUGUGAAAUUUCGGGGCUCAACCCCGAACUUGCAGUGGGUACGGGCAGACUAGAGUGUGGUAGGGGAGACUGGAAUUCCUGGUGUAGCGGUGAAAUGCGCAGAUAUCAGGAGGAACACCGAUGGCGAAGGCAGGUCUCUGGGCCAUAACUGACGCUGAGGUGCGAAAGCGUGGGGAGCAAACAGG
rnacentral:rRNA from 1 species